GGGAGAGUGGCGGAAUUGGUAUACGCGCAGGGUUUAGGUUCCUGUAUCUUUAUGGUGUGUGGGUUCGAGUCCCAUCUCUCCUAC
rnacentral:tRNA from 1 species